rnacentral:lncRNA from 1 species
GUCAUACAUCAGUAGAGGUGGGGUGGCAUGAUGGGUAAGAGUGCUUACUGAAUUCAUAUGCUGGCACUGCCACUGAUUUAGCUGGAUGUCCAUGGGAAGGACACUUUACUUCUCUAAUACCAACUUUAUUAAAUUAUUGUGAUGAUUUAGUAAGUUAGAAUAUUAAAAUGCUUAAAAUAGUGUCUGACACAUAGGAAGCAAGCGAGCAUUGAUGAUCAUUAUCUUGUUCCAACAUUCAGGUACACAGGUUCUGGAGGCAUCAUGAUGCAGUUCCAAGAAUUUCCAGAUCCCUUGCAUCUUACGUAUCCUAAAUUUGGAUGAUGAUUUCCUGCCAGAAGAUGGUGAUGGUUUUGGAGAGGGAAGAUCUAGAGUGCAGGCAUUCAAGGAGAUUAAGAUAGAACCUGCAAGACUUCUGUUGACUUGGCAGCAGAAGAUACAAGAAGUUCCACUUCUGCCAUGUUUUACUGGUUGUAAGCAUACUCACUGACACCAAUCCUCCAUUUCUGACUCCUCUGGAACAUAGUUGUCGGCACUUUACUGCAACAACUCCUACCUUUAAUACUAUAUUUAAUUUUUAUUAUGUCCUG